CACGUAGUUAGCCGUCCCUUUCUGGUAAGAUACCGUCACAGUGUGAACUUUCCACUCUCACACUCGUUCUUCUCUUACAACAGAGCUUUACGAUCCGAAAACCUUCUUCACUCACGCGGCGUUGCUCGGUCAGACUUCCGUCCAUUGCCGAAGAUUCCCUGCUGCUGCCUCCCGUAGGAGUCUGGGCCGUGUCUCAGUCCCAGUGUGGCCGAUCACCCUCUCAGGUCGGCUAUGUAUCGUCGCCUUGGUGAGCCGUUACCCCACCAACUAGCUAAUACAACGCAGGUCCAAUCUGGUAGUGAUGCAAUUGCACCUUUUAAGCAAAUGUCAUGCAACAUCUACUCUUAUGCGGUAUAGCUAUCGUUUCCAAUACGUUAUCCCCCGCUACCAGGCAAGGUUACCUACGCGUUACUCGACCCCGUUCGACAACUUCACUCCAGAGAAGCAAGCCUCCUUCCUUCAGCGUUACUACUUGCAUGUAUAGGCACGCCGCCAGCUUCG
rnacentral:rRNA from 1 species